rnacentral:rRNA from 1 species
CAGCAGUCGCCGCGGUAAUACAGAGGGUGCGAGCGUUAAUCGGAUUUACUGGGCGUAAAGCGUGCGUAGGCGGCUUCUUAAGUCGGAUGUGAAAUCCCUGAGCUUAACUUAGGAAUUGCAUUCGAUACUGGGAAGCUAGAGUAUGGGAGAGGAUGGUAGAAUUCCAGGUGUAGCGGUGAAAUGCGUAGAGAUCUGGAGGAAUACCGAUGGCGAAGGCAGCCAUCUGGCCUAAUACUGACGCUGAGGUACGAAAGCAUGGGGAGCAAACAGGAUUAGAGACCCGAGUAGUCCCUGUCUCUUAUAC